rnacentral:misc_RNA from 1 species
AACGUCAUGUUACACCGUAGAUACAGAUUUUACCAGGCUUAUUCUUGUUUCUUCGCACCUGUUUUCAGCAUCGUCUGGCUUCUUGGACUAAAUUCUAACCCCGUUUUAAAUAUCAUAUAUAUUUUAUAUUAUACUCCAUCCUUUCAUUGCUACAAACCCUUAUCAAGGUCAUAUGCUGGAUGAUGAGCCACAUACAAAGGUUAAAAACCAUGAAGCGAUACAUCAACAAACCUCGAAAUCCACCACAAACCCUUCUAUUACUGUAUCGAUCGUAAAAUCUUUCCUGGCUGGUUCACUAAGUGGAACCUGCUCAGCUCUUCUCUUCCAACCAUUAGAUUUGGUGAAAACACGACUGCAAUCACCAGUCAAAGCUGGUGAAGGCCGUCUUGGUGUUCUAUCUGUGAUAACACAUGUACUGAAGCAGGACAAAGUCACUGGCUUAUGGAAAGGUCUUGCCCCUACUGUUACAAGAUGUGUGCCUGGCAUUGGUAUCUAUUUCUCACUGCUCCAUUCAUUUAAAACCUACCUGGGGUCUGAUACCCCAACAAUUAUCGAAUCUUUGUCAAUUGGUGCUGCUGCUCGUACCCUCACAGUAGCCAUCAUGCACCCAAUCAGUGUCCUAAAGACAAGGUAUGAGGUUUAUACAGCGGUCUGGUCCCUACAUUGGCCCGAGACGUCCCAUUUUCAGCUCUUUACUUUGCAUUUUAUACCAAAACAAAAUUAUUUCUGUCCCCUGACAUUGUCAAUAAAUCUUAUCUACCUCUGCUACACUUCAACUGUGGAAUUCUUGCUGGUGUGCUGGCUUCAAUACUCACUCAACCAGCAGAUGUUGUUAAGACACUCAUGCAGCUACACCCCAAGACUUACCCAACUAUCCAAGAUGCUACACUUUAUAUAUAUCAGAAAGAAGGUUUGAUUGGGUUCCAAAGAGGUUUCGUCCCCCGUGCCUUACGCCGCUGCCUCAUGGCUGCUAUGGCUUGGACAGUAUAUGAACAUAUGAUGAAGAAAUUUGGCUUAGAAACUUGAUGAUUGACCAGCAGCCAAUUAUCUUUGAAUUUUCAAGUCAAAAUCUGAUGUGAGCAUUCAGUAAUAGACGUGUCCUUUUCAAGUCCUUUUUUCUUGAAACUCUGAACUCUGCACCAAACCCAAAGCUACAACAUUUUCCAAUUUGCGUGGAUCAGCUGAAUGGCAGUGAAUUGAGUGAGGAUUGUUGAUGUCCUACGUCGAGAUUCUCAAAGUCUGCACGAAAGAAAUUUGUCGUUAUCUAUAAAGAGCAAAAAAAGAAAUAAUAAAAAACUCCCCACAACAAAAUGGAAUAAAAUAUUUAUUUUAUUAUU